rnacentral:sRNA from 1 species
GCCGGUUGUGGUAGCGCACACCUGUAAUCCCAGAGGUUCAGGAGGCUGAGCCAGGAGGAUUGUGAGCUCAAGCCAGCCUCAAUAAUUGCUCAGCAAGGCCCUAAGCAACGUAGCAAGACCCUGUCUCAA